ACUAAAUAGAUACCCCGGUAGUCCACGCCCUAAACGAUGCGAACUGGACGUUGGUUGCAACUUGGCAAAUCAGUGUCGAAAGCUAAACGCGUUAAGUUCGCCGCCUGGGGAGUACGGUCGCAAGACUGAAACUCAAAGGAAUUGACGGGGGCCCGCACAAGCGGUGGAGUAUGUGGUUUAAUUCGAUGCAACGCGCAGAACCUUACCUGGCCUUGACAUGUCGCGAACUUUCCAGAGAUGGUAUUGGUGCCGUUCGGGAACGCGAACACAGGUGCUGCAUGGCUGUCGUCAGCUCGUGUCGUGAGAUG
rnacentral:rRNA from 1 species